rnacentral:rRNA from 1 species
AGAGUUUGAUCCUGGCUCAGGAUGAACGCUGGCGGCGUGCUUAACACAUGCAAGUCGAACGGGGAUAAGAGGAAACCUGGUGAAUCUUAUGCCAGUGGCGGACGGGUGAGUAACGCGUGGGCAACCUGCCGCAUACCGGGGGAUAACACUUAGAAAUAGGUGCUAAUACCGCAUAAGCGCACAGGGCCGCAUGGCCUGGUGUGAAAAACUCCGGUGGUAUGCGAUGGGCCCGCGUCUGAUUAGCUUGUUGGCGGGGCAGCGGCCCACCAAGGCGACGAUCAGUAGCCGGCCUGAGAGGGUGUACGGCCACAUUGGGACUGAGACACGGCCCAGACUCCUACGGGAGGCAGCAGUGGGGAAUAUUGCACAAUGGGGGGAACCCUGAUGCAGCGACGCCGCGUGAGUGAAGAAGUAUUUCGGUAUGUAAAGCUCUAUCAGCAGGGAAGAAAAUGACGGUACCUGACUAAGAAGCCCCGGCUAACUACGUGCCAGCCGCCGCGGUAAUAC